rnacentral:rRNA from 1 species
GCGCCUACACAUGCAAGUCGAACGCAGUAGCAAUACUUAGUGGCAGACGGGUGAGUAACAUGUGGGUAUCUACCCUUUGGCCUGGAAUAACACGAGGAAACUUGUGCUAAUACCGGAUAAGUCUUUACGGAGAAAGCUUUAUGCACCAUUGGAUGAGCCCGCACUUGAUUAGUUUGUUGGUGGGGUAAUGGCCUACCAAGACUGUGAUCAAUAGCUGAUUUGAGAGGAUGAUCAGCCACAUUGGGACUGAGACACGGCCCAAACUCCUACGGGAGGCAGCAGUGGGGAAUCUUGCACAAUGGAGGAAACUCUGAUGCAGCGAUGCCGCGUGAGUGAAGAAGGCCUUUGGGUUGUAAAGCUCUUUCGUCGGGGAAGAAAAUGACUGUACCCGAAUAAGAAGGUCCGGCUAACUUCGUGCCAGCAGCCGCGGUAAUACGAAGGGACCUAGCGUAGUUCGGAAUUACUGGGCUUAAAGAGUUCGUAGGUGGUUAAAAUAGUUGGUGGUGAAAUCCCAGAGCUUAACUCUGGAACUGCCAUCAAAACUUUUUAGCUAGAGUAUGAUAGAGGAAAGUAGAAUUUCUAGUGUAGAGGUGAAAUUCGUAGAUAUUAGAAAGAAUACCGAUUGCGAAGGCAGCUUUCUGGAUCAUUACUGACACUGAGGAACGAAAGCAUGGGUAGCGAAGAGGAUUAGAUACCCUCGUAGUCCAUGCCGUAAACGAUGUGUGUUAGACGUUGGAAAUUUAUUUUCAGUGUCGCAGCGAAAGCAAUAAACACACCGCCUGGGGAGUACGACCGCAAGGUUAAAACUCAAAUGAAUUGACGGGGACCCGCACAAGUAGUGGAGCAUGUGGUUUAAUUCGAAGAUACGCGCAGAACCUUACCAACACUUGACAUGUUCGUCGCGACUCUAAGAGAUUAGAGUUUUCGGUUCGGCCGGACGAAACACAGGUGCUGCAUGGCUGUCGUCAGCUCGUGUCGUGAGAUGUUGGGUUAAGUCCCGCAACGAGCGCAACCCUCACUUUUAGUUGCCAUCAUUAAGUUGG